CCCCACUCAUUGAACACCCCCACACCCCCCAAGAAAACCUCCCUUUCAAAAAAAAAAACCUAACAAAACUCACUAAGAAGAAGAAAUUUCAAAACCCACGAAGAAGAAGAAUGUCUCUGCCAAUUGAACCGUUGUCACAGGUGGUUAUCUGCAUGGAAUAAUAUCUUUGACAUAUGGUGUUGACAUUGAAAGAAUACGUUGGAUGGGCAUUUUGCAGCUAGCUUAUGGAAGUUAACAAUACAACUUGAAAGCGGCAAAUGACAUCUUUGAGGUGUAACAACUCCUAAGUACCUCAAAAUGUCAGUCAGAAACGUCGUGCUCAUAAUGUUCAAGUUGACAAAUUUGAUGGUAAUGAACCCAUUGUCAAUGAUAUUGAUGGCAAUAAAGAGUAAACAAACAUUCUUGCCGUUAACCACCACAUGAACAUUCCUGAUGUUGACCGUCCCAUGGACAUGCCUGGUUCAGGUGAAGCGCUUGCUACACCUUUUCCCGAGGGCCCAAUUGAUCCUUCCAUUUUGACAAAUUUUAGUUGUCAUGUAGCAGCCAAAAUUUGGAAUAAUGAGGAACAAGAUUUGUUGAGAUGCUUGAACCAUGGGUAUAAGGUUGCUGAUUGGUCUUUAACAUCAGAAUGAGUUGAGAACUCUAAAUUUAUGGACAUUAUUAAACAUUCAGGAUGGUAUUCUUUGGGGGUGUUUGGGAAGAAAAAAAAUAGCUUAGUUUAGGCUAAAAAUCACAAAAAGAUAAAAUAGGCUAAAAUAGCUAAUAAGACAAAAUAUCACAUCAAACCCAUAAUCAUUUCACUUUUU